rnacentral:lncRNA from 1 species
GGAUCCUUAACCCACUGAGCAAGGCCAGGGAUCAAACCCUCAACUUCAUGGUUCCUAGUCGGAUUAGUUAACCACUGUGCCACAACAGGAAAUCCUCUUUUCUUCUUUUUUCUCAAUUAAUUUUUCUGUUGUAGGAAUGCGAAACAUGAUAUGUACCCUCAACAAAAUUUUAAGCGCACAAUACAGUAUUGUUAACUAUAGGAACGAUGUGAUACAGCAGAUCUCUUGCACUUAUGCUUCGUGCAUAACUAAAACUUUAUAUCCGUUGAAUAGCAAAGAUCCAAAUAUUCUGUACUUCAGUGUUUCCUUUUCUUUCCAGUGUCCAUAAAGUUUUAUUGGAACACAGCUAUGCACAUUAAUUUAUGUAUUAUCUAUGGCUGCUUUUUCAUUGCAGUUUAAGUUUUAUCCCCCCAGCUUUAUUGCGAUAUAAUUGACAUAUAGCAUUGUGUAAGUUUAAGGUACAUAAUGUGAUAAUUUGAUAUAUGUAUAUAAUUGCAAAACAAUCACUACAGUAAAGUUAGUCGGCACUUCCAUCUUCGAUCUCUGGAACACCGGAUCAUUAACCCACUGAGCAAGGGGCAGGGACUGAACCCGCAACCUCGUGGUUCCUAGUCGGAUUUGUUAACCACUGCACCACGACGGGAACUCCACACUUUGCAUUUAAAUGUUUCCAUGUCAUGUUCUCCCACUAGACUGUGAACACCUUAAAGGCAGGCGUGGCCUCGUGGGUCUUUGACUUUUACUGGGCUCCUGAUGCAUGUUACUAGGUGAAUACAUGAUGAGCUCAGAUUCUUAACUUCCUAGCUGUUUAAAAUGGUUUAGGAAAUAAUUGGAAGGAGUCUAGAUGUCAGGCUCCCUCCCCUUUUCUCCCUCUUUUGACUAAAAGGAAUGCAUUUUCUGGACAUGUGACCUGGGGAAGAGAUUUUGGUAAAGCAGUUAACUAAAAAUGUACUGUUAAAUGUCAAACUCACUGCAAAUUAGCAUAAAUCUAAGGCUUGCUUUUUUAUGGGAGAAUUCUUAUGUUAUUAUUAUUAUUAUUAUUUUUGCUUUUUAGGGAGGUUCCCAGGCUAGGGCUCGAUCUGGAGUUACAGCUGCAGGCCCACACCACAGCCACAGAAAUGCAGGAUCCGAGCCCUGUCUGUGACCUACACCACAGCUCACAGCGACGCCAGAUCCUUAACCUACUGAGCGAGGACAGGGAUCAAACUCACAACUUCAUGGUUACUGGUUGGAUUUGUUUCUGCCCUGCCACAAUGGGAACUCCUUCCUAUUUUUUUUUUUCAUUAUUUUUCUUUGAAAAUAUUUUAUCAAUUUGAACCCAUAAGAAUAUUUUGGACUUAGUCAAUUGACUGUACUAGGUUUUCCCCCUAGAGGUGAAUAGUUUUGCUGAGUAAAAUUCACUAGUUCCAUGUCAAAUCUAUAAUACAGGAUUGCUGGCUGUGAUUUUUUUUUUUUUAACUUUCUAGUCUAAAUUGGAACCUUAUGGACAUUGAACCUAGAAACAUAUGCCAAUGUGCUUUCUAUGUAGAAAAUCUUUUUUCAUAUUAUUAACAAAAUCACUAUUGUGUUCCAGGCUUUGUUCUCUGGGGAUGAAUCUUAGUAAAUCACUUCCUGCCAUUCCGAUACCUCAGAUCUCAAACUGCCCGAAGCUUUAACAAGAGAUGCAUCAGAAAAUACAAUUAAAAAAUCCAAGAAGGUUAUGAUGACAGGAAAAAAUAAUUCCCAUUUCUCCUACAAGGGUGGGGAGAAGGCAGGAAGGAUAGGAGAGGAUUUAAGAAUCUGGUUCUUCUAUGUCUGAAAAAAGACAGUUCAGAUGAAUUACUAGUGCCUUAAAUAAGAAACAGGAAAAAAUCCUCCACACAGAGAGUCACUUUAGCCAGCCAUAAACAUUUGGUACUCAUCUCCAGCCUCCAGGAGCCGAGAAAUUGAGACAUGUCUGGAAAAAAAAAAUUAGGCUAGGCAUACCUUUAAAAACGAAAAUUGGAAGUAAAAUGCAUUGUGCUCAGACUUCUCAGCCCUCUCUGUAUCUUGAGUCUGUCACUUUAACAACUCUGGAAAGUUCGAGGUUUCCUGCGUGUAUACCACUCCCCGACCCCGAACAUAUUUUACCAAUUUCGUUUACAAAGAGAAUUUAGGUCUUCCCUGUCGUGCUUCACUCACCUAUAAUGUGGGGAUCGUAAAUAUGUUUCCAUCUUCUAAGGAACAUUCUCUUGCAUUGCAUUCCCAAGUUGUGCUGUCCAGAUGUGAAAGGUUAAGUCACUUUUAAAAUUUCUUCAGAGCAGUGAUCUCUUUGCGGAAGACAGUGUGUCUUUUAUACAAUGACAGGUUAGGAAAGGAGCCUUUUGUUUGAAUAGACAAGGUGCACCUGAACUUUCUUUUCCUGUGCAGCCCUGGAUUUCUAUUAUGGAGGAAGUGAUAGAGAAGGGGCUGAGAGUUUGGAGAAGUUUUGAAAAGGAUGUCAGAUUGAUGCAGAUCUAUCAUUUUCCCAUUCCUGAAGGCUCAGGUUUUACGUGCAUGUCGCCACAAGUGGGUCUGAAUUCUUGGGAGGAAGCCUAAAACUGCUGGCAGGUCUGCCUUCCAGGUUAUGGAUGCUGGUUCGACUUGGUAACUGUUUGUGUGUUGAUUGGACCAGUGACACAUGUGAGGCAAAAUCUUUUUCUUUUUUCUUUUUGUCUUUUCUAUGGCUGCACCCUUGGCAUAUGGAGGUUCCCAGGCCAGGGGGUCUAAUUGGAGCUGUAGUCGCCGCAAUGCAGACUACUCCAGAGCCACAGCAAUGCAGGAUCCGAGCCGCAUCUGCAACCUAUGCCACAGCUCACGGCAACACGGUACGCUUAACCCACUGAGUGAGGCCAGGAAUCGAACCUACAGCCUCAUGGUUCCUAGCUGGAUUCAUUAACCACUAAGGCACAACAGGAGCCCCAUGGCAAGAUCUUUUGAAUGAAACUCAUAGUGCCAUGAUCCAGACUAUGAAUUAGGUGAUGCUGUCUCUCCUCCCCCGACCAUGGAGAAUUUAUCUUCGUUUUAGAACUGACCUUCUCCACUUAGAAAAAAAAAAAAUCCCUUUUUGAAAAAAGGAACUCAAAUUAAAGGGAAUGCAUAUGGUCUGAGAGGCCAUGUAGUUCUCUUUGAUGAUUCUGUCCAUAAAGGGGGGAUUGAUAGUCCCAGCUGAUCAAGAGUACAAUAGGAUCCAUUAUAUUCCUUCUACUUCUCUUUCCUUUGUCUGCAUAAUUUGCUCUCCAAAACUUAAAUAAAGGUUAUCUCAGUGGUUCUUGUGCUUUUAGACCCUGAAAUUCUGUACAAGACACCUUGAAAGCCCUGAGCAAUUUAUUGCAAUUAACACGUCAUAGUGGGAGAAAAAAAAAAGAAUUUGGAAUUUGAAGAUUUGGGGCCUAAAUAUCGGGCAGGCAUUCAUUUUACUGAAUGGCUUUAUGGCAAUUUAACUUUUUUUUUUUUUUUUGCUUUUUAGGGCCGAAUGCUCAGCAUAUGGAAGUUCCCAGGCUAGGGCUCAAAUUGGAGCUACAGCUGCCAGCCUACACCACAGCCACAGCAAUGUGGGAUCAUACCUGCAUCUGCAGCCUACACUACAGCUCACGGCAAUGCCGGAUCCUUAACCCACUGAGUGAGGCCAGGCAUCAAACUUGCAUCCUCAUGGAUCCUAGCUGGGUUCAUUAACUGCUGAGCCAUGAAGUGAUCUCCUCUUAACAUUUUUGAAAUCAGCUUAAUUAGUAAAACAAUAAUAAUAAUAUCUUUCUUACAGGGUGGUUGUAAGGAUCCUUGAGAUACUUUACGCUGAACCAUUGAAAAUUGUCAAUAUUAACUUUCUUUUGUUUUGGCUGCACCUGGGUCAUACGCAAGUUCCUGGGCUAAGGACUGAAACUCCACUACAGCUGCAACCAAUGCCAUAGCCGUGGCAGCACUGGAUUCUUAAGCCACUGUGCCACAGUGGGAACUCCUCAAUGUUAACUCUUUUUUUUUUUUUUAAGGGCUGCACAUGUGGCACAUGGAAGUUCCCAGCUAGGGGCUGAACUGGAGCUGCAAAUGUCAGCCUGCAUCAUAGCCACAGCAACCUGGGAUCCGAGCCGUGUCUGUGACCUACACCACAGCUCAUGGCAACACUGGAUCCUAAACCCACUGAGUGAGGCCAGGGAUCGAACCCAUAUUCUCAUGGAUACUAUUUGUACUUAGGUAUUAAAAGUCAUCUAGGAGUUCUCAUCGUGGCCCAGAGGAAAUGACUCUGACUAGGAUCCAUGAGGACACAGGUUCCAUCCCUGGCCUCGCUCAGCGAGUUUAAGGAGCUGUAGUGUAGGUCGCAAGAGGCAGCUUGGAUCUGGCGUUGCUGUGGCUGUGGCUGUGACAUAGGCCGGCAGCUAUAGAUCCAAUUUGACCCCUAGCCUGGGAACCUCCAUGUGUCAAGGGCAUGGCCCUAAAGAAGCAAAAAAAAAAAAAAAAAAAAAA